rnacentral:rRNA from 1 species
GUGCCAGCAGCCGCGGUAAUACGUAGGGUGCGAGCGUUAAUCGGAAUUACUGGGCGUAAAGCGUGCGCAGGCGGUUUUGUAAGCCAGAUGUGAAAUCCCCGGGCUUAACCUGGGAAUGGCAUUUGGGACUGCAAGGCUGGAGUAUGGCAGAGGGGACUAGAAUUCCUGGUGUAGCAGUGAAAUGCGUAGAUAUCAGGAGGAAUACCGAUGGCGAAGGCAGGUCCCUGGGCUAAUACUGACGCUCAUGCACGAAAGCGUGGGGAGCAAACAGGAUUAGAUACCCCCGUAGUCC